ACCUACACGCACGCACACAUACGAUUUUUACUGAACUUUGUGGUGACAACGUGCUGUAGAAUCCCAAACUAUCUAAUUCUCAGCGUGUCUUCCCCAAAACGCUGCGUUCAUCGUUUCCAGUUGGCUUGUUGCAGGACUUGGCCACGUAUUGUCCGCCUCUGCGCACGCCUGACCCUGCAGAUGUGUGUUUUGGGUUGCUAUGCUGCUGUUGGACCCAUGAGCUGUUGCUGAGGUUGAGGUUUCUGACACUGGGCAGGUUGUUUGGCUUCCUGAAGACUUGGCAGUCAACAAGACUUCAUUGUGUUCUGCUGAAAUGUAAGGUUCUCCAUGCCAGGUCCAAAGUUUUUGGCUCAAGAAGAUCUGGUUGGAUUAUGAAAAAAAGGAGCCUCUAAGUAACCUGAGAAAGAACUUUGUUUUUCUUAUAAAAAUCUCUCCAAAACAUGGGUGAUGAAACCAUUAAACACUUUUAAGAGAGGUUGCUAUGCUGACAUUGAUGGCUCCUGAGAUAAGCAAGACGGGAGCACACUGGGGACAGAUUAUAAGAAACCCAACCCACCUUGUCAAAGCCUUGCUGUCCAACUGGCUGUCUGUGAACUGGGGAAAUGAAUUCCUUAAGAAUCCUCUUUGGCCAGCCAUAUGUCUUCCCUCCUCUCUCUUUGUCCAUGGUCUCUUUUCCCUCUGUCAAUCAGGAUCAGAGCCAAGUCUUCCCACAAUGGCUGCCACCAGUACUGCACCCUGUUAAGGCUACAAUUUCCAAGCCCAUUCUCCAACUGACUAAUUAGUGUUAUGGUUAGUUAGCAUUUUUGGCAGCCUGCAGGUACCCCGUGACAUUAUGUCUAAAGCACUUGUCAAAACAUUGGUUGAAGGAGCCGUGCUGGCCUGCUGGCUGGGGAUGCUGGGGCAGCAUCACGGGACGUGGUGAAGAGGAUAGCAGGAGCCAGAGAAAUUGUGGGUGGGCAACAAAAAGGAAGAGAUCUUGGCGUCUCAGGAAGGGCCUGACGGCCCCAGUCUCCAGGCUCUCUGCCCAUAAGCAGCAGCAGGAAGCAGAAAGACAGGCAUUAGCUGAGCUUGGCUGCAGUGACUUGCAUACUGCAAACCUCCACUUAAUGCCCAGAAUCAAUCAUUUCUCUUAUUUACAAAUUAUAUUUUUGAUAGAAUGCAGUGCACAAGCUUGGAGAAAGUGCAACUAAAACAUUAAGAGAAAAAGAAAGAAACCUUCAGCCUUCUAACUAUAUGAAGUGGACACUAAUUUGUACCAGUAGAACCCAGACUGUGGGACUCCCAAUCCACAAUCUGGAUCGGUAGAAAUGUUUAAUAGAAAAACAUUUCUUUAUAUUAAAAAGAAAACAUUUCUUUUAACAUAUGCUUAGUUAGACAGUGUUGUACUUCCUACUGUUUAAUUUUGUUUUGACAGUUUUAUCUUCCUUACCUGACAUUUCAUGUCCCCUAUUUUAUGCAUUUCAUGUUUUAUGUAUUUUUUAAUGUGUAUGUAAUGGCUGCAAUUACAGCCACUGAAAUCCGGUAAUGUCUUCAUCACGCCGCUACAGUAGAGAACGGUAUAUUGUGAAAUAAUAGAUUUUGGUUUAGAAUUAAUUUAUUUACACAAUCAUAUAAUAUUUAUCCUAAAAUAAGUGUGCACAUUAAGUGUGCGUUUUUCAAACUUCAAGGUGUGUACUGUCACUUACUGUUGAUGUGUGUAAAUGUUAACUCACAUUAAUUUUAAUUUUGUAUCAUGAAGAUAAAUAAAUAAUGCUUUAUUUAAUGUAUAAAA